rnacentral:rRNA from 1 species
UACGUAUGGAGCAAGCGUUAUCCGGAUUUACUGGGUGUAAAGGGAGCGUAGGCGGUAAGGCAAGUCUGAUGUGAAAGGCCGGGGCUCAACCCUGGGACUGCAUUGGAAACUGUUUAACUGGAGUGUCGGAGAGGCAAGUGGAAUUCCUAGUGUAGCGGUGAAAUGCGUAGAUAUUAGGAGGAACACCAGUGGCGAAGGCGGCUUGCUGGACGAUGACUGACGCUGAGGCUCGAAAGCGUGGGGAGCAAACA